rnacentral:lncRNA from 1 species
UGUUUGCUUCACCUGAUUGCUUGGGUUCCAUUAGAAGUCUUGUGUCUUGCUUCCCUUGUGUGGAGUGGCUUCAGUUGGGAAGAGAUGAGUUGGGCAGGUUUUGUUUUGCACUUUUGCUCAAACGCUAACUCAACACUAAACAGUAGAUUAUGCUGAGAAGCUUCCUCCCUGCAGAAUUCAGGUGGGCAGGAAACUCAGAGAGAAAGUUCAGUUUACGUAUCUUGAAUCUUGAUGCUGAAGUUCUUAAUAAUUACUAAGAAUAGGUUGUGAACUCAGGGAAGUUGCUAUUGUUAUUGCAAAAAUGAGAGAAACCGAAAAACAUAUUUUCUUGCUCAACUUUCCCCCAAUAUAUCAAGAUGCAUGUUAGCUAGCAAAGAAUUGUAUUUUGUUUCAGAUUCCAGCAUUUAUUGUAAGAGUUGUUCAUAACGAAAAUUAAAGAAAAUAAAUCAGAUGAGGAAGUGAUGUGUGUCCUGUGUUGUGACAUGUACUCCCUCCGUUCCUAAAUACUAAAACAGCGACAAGUAUUUAGGAACGGAGGGAGUAUAUAAGAUAGAACAUUUCUGUUGUGGUUCACUAGAUACUAGUAUAGGCCAAGUGGCUCACCUUUAUCCCAACAGUAUUUUGAUUUUCAACAACAAUCUUCUAUAGGGUAGUUGGGUCCCAUCUUCAUUCAGUAAUCUCACUUGGUUCAAUCUAUGAACUUGAGAAGUAAUCGAGAUGACAGUUUGCAGUUGAACCCAAUUGUCAUCACUGUAC